UGGGGAAUAUUGGACAAUGGGCGAAAGCCUGAUCCAGCAAUACCGCGUGUGUGAAGAAGGCCUUAGGGUUGUAAAGCACUUUCAAUUGGGAGGAAAACCUGCCGGCCAAUACCCGGUAGCUUGACAUUACCUUUAGAAGAAGCACCGGCUAACUCCGUGCCAGCAGCCGCGGUAAUACGGAGGGUGCGAGCGUUAAUCGGAAUUACUGGGCGUAAAGCGUGCGUAGGCGGUUCGUUAAGUCAGAUGUGAAAGCCCUGGGCUCAACCUGGGAACUGCAUUUGAAACUGGCGGACUAGAGUUUAGUAGAGGGGAGUGGAAUUUCAGGUGUAGCGGUGAAAUGCGUAGAUAUCUGAAGGAACACCAGUGGCGAAGGCGACUCCCUGGACUAGAACUGACGCUGAGGUACGAAAGCGUGGGUAGCAAACAGGAUUAGAUACCCUGGUAGUCCACGCCGUAAACGAUGUCGACUAGCCGUUGGCCCUAUUUACAGGGUUAGUGGCGCAGCUAACGCAUUAAGUCGACCGCCUGGGGAGUACGGCCGCAAGGUUA
rnacentral:rRNA from 1 species